GCGUGUGGCGCCGGAGGCCGCGCGGGCCUGUGAGAACGCCGCCCCGGCGACAGUCGCUCACACGCCGCGCAAACCUACCGAAGGAGUCCCGCCCAGGGACGGACUAGCCGACGGGGUCUCCCAUCUGCGCACCCCCUCGUGCGUCCUACCCUUCGUUUUUGGUUCUCCAGGCACCAUGCUAAGAACUGACAGAAGAGGGUUCAGCACUGAAACAUCUCUAUCACACCUUCCAAGGCUCAGGGUCCAUUGUGGAAGAGGUGGCAGAAAGAAUGUUAAGAGCCAAAGGAAAGGUGAACAGAUACGACAAACUCUGCCUGUGGACAGCAGGGAACUUGGUAGACCCAAGUUCCAAGAUCCAAGAAGGAGACUCUUCUGUACAAUCUUCUAUCAAUGCAUCAUCUUUUCAAGAAAAUAUUUUAUUUACUUGCAAGCAGACAGAGAGUAUGAGUGUGCCUUUUGAGGUAGGGUCUCAGUCUAGCUCAGGCUGAUCUGGAAUUCACUAUGUAGUCUCAGGGUGGACUUGAACUGAUGGUGAUCCUCCUACCUCUGCCUCCCAAGUGCUGGGAUUAAAGGUGUGCUCCACCAUGCCCAGCUUACACAUAUGUGAUUCUUGAACAAAUACACGAAAAUAAACUUCGGUGGUGGUUACCAUACCUGAGCCUCAGAAACCAUGAAUUAGUUGCAGGUCUUGGUUUAAUCUAUUAAUACCCUUGAGAAAACCAAGAGUAACCUCUAAUAUUGUCACUGAAUUAAAGUCACAUUUGGUUUUAAUCUCAGAGGACUAUAUUAGCUACAUGACAUCCAGUUUCACUUUGAUGUUCAUUGCUGCCAGUUCAGCUACAAAAUACCGGAAGACGUAAGGCACGGAGACAGUAUCAAUAGUGUCACUGCAAUCACAAACAGUACAGUUGUACUUUCUAUUGCGCAUGGCAGACCAAGAAGGAGGUGGUUUCUCCAACAGUGGGGAGAGUAAGCUGCCACACUUUACACACACAUGGGCUAUAGAGCGGUCAGAGCAGUUGAAGAGUCGGUCAUGAAGGAGAAAAGAUGUGCCAUGAGCCAAAAGAGCAUCUCGCUCCAUCUCCCCAAAACGAAUUCCACCUUGAACAUUUCUUCCUCCAAUUGGCUGGUUGGUGACUUUGUCCCUGGCUCCAGUUGUUCUGACCUGAAAUUUGUCUGACACCAUGUGGCGUAAGCGUUGGUAAUAAACCACACCUAUGAAAA